rnacentral:rRNA from 1 species
AUGAACGCUGGCGGCGUGCUUAACACAUGCAAGUCGAGCGAGAAGUUUUGAAAAGAUUCUUCGGAUGAAAUUUAAAAUGGAAAGCGGCGGACGGGUGAGUAACGCGUAGGCAACCUGCCCCAUACAAAGGGAUAGCAUUUGGAAACGAAUAUUAAUACCUUAUGAAACUUAACUAGUGCAUGCUAGGUAGGUCAAAGAUUUAUCGGUAUGGGAUGGGCCUGCGUCUGAUUAGCUAGUUGGUGAGGUAACGGCUCACCAAGGCGACGAUCAGUAGCCGACCUGAGAGGGUGAACGGCCACAUUGGAACUGAGACACGGUCCAAGCUCCUACGGGAGGCAGCAGUGGGGAAUAUUGCACAAUGGGGGAAACCCUGAUGCAGCAACGCCGCGUGAACGAUGAAGGCCUUUGGGUCGUAAAGUUCUGUUCUAGGUGAUGAAAACUGACAGUAACCUAGGAGAAAGCCCCGGCUAACUCCGUG